rnacentral:rRNA from 1 species
GCAAGUCGAACGGUAACAGCGGAAGCUUGCUUCCGGCUGACGAGUGGCGGACGGGUGAGUAAUGCAUAGGAAUCUGCCCAUGUAGUGGGGGACAACCUGGGGAAACUCAGGCUAAUACCGCAUACGCCCUACGGGGGAAAGCAGGGGAUCUUCGGACCUUGCGCUAUUGGAUGAGCCUAUGUCGGAUUAGCUAGUUGGUAGGGUAAAAGCCUACCAAGGCUACGAUCCGUAGCUGGUCUGAGAGGAUGAUC